AUGGAUAUUGCCAAAUUGGUUUUUGGCCUAAGAACGUGCCAACCUACUCAUAUGAAGGAAGCAACAGUUUGGUUUGAUAAAGAGUUACAAAAGGCGAUUGAAGACAUCGUGGUUGGUGGAGGUCCUUUCUUCGGGGACGUUCAAUGGAGGGUGACUUCAUUAUCCAUUAGAGUUGGGGGUUUGAGUUUGUACUUGGUUGUAGAGGUCGCCUCAUACGCCUUUUGGCUUCUAGGACCCAAUGUUGGGUGA